GACGUAGGGCGCAAGCGUUGUCCGGAAUUAUUGGGCGUAAAGAGCUCGUAGGCGGCUUGUCGCGUCGACUGUGAAAACCCGUGGCUCAACCAUGCGGUCUGCAGUCGAUACGGGCAGGCUAGAAUUCGGUAGGGGAGACUGGAAUUCCUGGUGUAGCGGUGAAAUUCGUAGAUAUUGGGAAGAACACCAGUGGCGAAGGCGGCUAACUGGUCCAGUACUGACGCUGAGGUGCGAAAGCGUGGGGAGCAAACAGG
rnacentral:rRNA from 1 species